rnacentral:antisense_RNA from 3 species
CUUCACGGAGCCGAGCCGCAACGGGCUGCCCUCCGGCCGCUCCUGGCCGUAGGUGGCGAGCAGGGCCUGCGCCUC